rnacentral:rRNA from 1 species
UACGGAGGGGGCUAGCGUUGUUCGGAAUUACUGGGCGUAAGGCGCACGUAGGCGGCGACUCAAGUCAGAGGUGAAAGCCCGGGGCUCAACCCCGGAACUGCCUUUGAAACUAGGUUGCUAGAAUCUUGGAGAGGUCAGUGGAAUUCCGAGUGUAGAGGUGAAAUUCGUAGAUAUUCGGAAGAACACCAGUGGCGAAGGCGACUGACUGGACAAGUAUUGACGCUGAGGUGCGAAAGCGUGGGGAGCAAACAGG